rnacentral:rRNA from 1 species
GACGAACGCUGGCGGCGUGCUUAACACAUGCCAGUCGAACGGAAAGGCCCUGCUUUUGUGCGGUGCUCGAGUGGCGAACGGGUGAGUAACACGUGAGUAACCUGCCCUUGCCUUUGGGAUAACUUCAGGAAACUGGGGCUAAUACCGGAUAGGAGCUCCUGCUGCAUGGUGGGGGUUGGAAGGUUUCGGCGGUUGGGGAUGGACUCGCGGCUUAUCAGCUUGUUGGUGGGGUAGUGGCUUACCAAGGCUUUGACGGGUAGCCGGCCUGAGAGGGUGACCGGCCACAUUGGGAUUGAGAUACGGCACAGACUCGUACGGGAGGCAGCAGUGGGGAAUAUUGCACAAGGGGCGGAAGCAUGAUGUAGCAAAGCAGCGUGCGGGAUGAGGGCCUUCGGGUUGUAAACCGAUUUCGCCUGUGACGAAGCGUGAGUGACGGUAAUGGGUAAAGAAGCACCGGCUAACUACGUG